rnacentral:rRNA from 1 species
AGAGUUUGAUCCUGGCUCAGGAUGAACGCUGGCGGCGUGCCUAAUACAUGCAAGUCGAGCGAACAGAUAAGGAGCUUGCUCCUUUGACGUUAGCGGCGGACGGGUGAGUAACACGUGGGUAACCUACCUAUAAGACUGGAAUAACUCCGGGAAACCGGGGCUAAUGCCGGGUAACAUUUAGAACCGCAUGGUUCUAAAGUGAAAGAUGGUUUUGCUAUCACUUAUAGAUGGACCCGCGCCGUAUUAGCUAGUUGGUAAGGUAAUGGCUUACCAAGGCAACGAUACGUAGCCGACCUGAGAGGGUGAUCGGCCACACUGGAACUGAGACACGGUCCAGACUCCUACGGGAGGCAGCAGUAGGGAAUCUUCCGCAAUGGGCGAAAGCCUGACGGAGCAACGCCGCGUGAGUGAUGAAGGGUUUCGGCUCGUAAAACCCUGUUAUUAGGGAAGAACAAACGUGUAAGUAACUGUGCACGUCUUGACGGUACCUAAUCAGAAAGCCACGGCUAACUACGUGCCAGCAGCCGCGGUAAUACGUAGGUGGCAAGCGUUAUCCGGAAUUAUUGGGCGUAAAGCGCGCGUAGGCGGUUCCUUAAGUCUGAUGUGAAAGCCCACGGCUCAACCGUGGAGGGUCAUUGGAAACUGGGAGACUUGAGUGCAGAAGAGGAAAGUGGAAUUCCAUGUGUAGCGGUGAAAUGCGCAGAGAUAUGGAGGAACACCAGUGGCGAAGGCGACUUUCUGGUCUGUAACUGACGCUGAUGUGCGAAAGCGUGGGGAUCAAACAGGAUUAGAUACCCUGGUAGUCC